GGGGGAAUAUUGGGGGCAAUGGGGGCGAAAGCCUGACCCAGCAACGCCGCGUGAAGGAAGAAGGUCUUCGGAUUGUAAACUUCUUUUAUGAGGGACGAAGGACGUGACGGUACCUCAUGAAUAAGCCACGGCUAACUACGUGCCAGCAGCCGCGGUAAUACGUAGGUGGCGAGCGUUAUCCGGAUUUACUGGGUGUAAAGGGUGAGUAGGCGGGAAGGCAAGUCAGAUGUGAAAUGCAAUGGCUCAACCAUUGAAUUGCAUUUGAAACUGUUUUUCUUGAGAGUCGGAGAGGUAAUCGGAAUUCCUAGUGUAGCGGUGAAAUGCGUAGAGAUUAGGAGGAACACCAGUGGCGAAGGCGGAUUACUGGACGACAACUGACGCUGAGACACGAAAGCGUGGGGAGCAAACAGGAUUAGAUACCCUGGUAGU
rnacentral:rRNA from 1 species